AGGUGGAGUUAUGUUUAGAAGGCUGGCAGCAAACUGGGGUGCCUGUCCUGAUAGUGAUGACGCCAUCCUCCCCUGAGUCCAGGAAAUAGAAAUUGUGAGUCCAGUUCCUCAUCCAGGAAAGGGGCAGAGCAUGGAAGAGCCGGGGCUCGAUGCCUACUCCAAGAUCACCGUGGGGAAGGGAUCUGGCCCGUGCCAAGUGUCUGCUGCUCCAUCAGGUAGACUGGGUAGGAAUUGGGGCCACCCUCAUCCUCUGUGUCAUUGUCCCGGGUGUUCUGGGUUAGUGUGCGGCGUGUCCGCAUCAUAUAGGAGACCUGUGAUUGGGAUGAGAAAGGAGGAAUAAAAACCAUCUGUGAUUUGUUUUUCUCAA